rnacentral:rRNA from 1 species
AGCGAACGCUGGCGGCAGGCUUAACACAUGCAAGUCGAGCGGGCAUCCUUGUGGUGUCAGCGGCAGACGGGUGAGUAACGCGUGGGAACGUGCCCUUCGGUUCGGAAUAACUCAGGGAAACUUGAGCUAAUACCGGAUACGUGCGAGAGCAGAAAGGUUUAUCUGCCGAAGGAUCGGCCCGCGUCUGAUUAGCUAGUUGGUGAGGUUAUGGCUCACCAAGGCGACGAUCAGUAGCUGGUUUGAGAGGAUGACCAGCCACACUGGGACUGCGACACGGCCCAGACUCCUACGGGAGGCAGGAGUGGGGAAUAUUGGACAAUGGGGGCAACCCUGAUCCAGCCAUGCCGCGUGAGUGAUGACGGCCUUAGGGUUGUAAAGCUCUUUUCUCCGGGACGAUAAUGACGGUACCGGAGGAAUAAGCCCCGGCUAACUUCGUG